rnacentral:rRNA from 1 species
UACGUAGGGUGCUAGCGUUGUUCGGAAUCAUUGGGCGUAAAGCGCGUGUAGGUGGUUAGUUAAGUCGGGUGUGAAAUCCCUGGGCUCAACCGAGGAAGUGCAUCCGAAACUAACUAGCUAGAGAAUGGUAGAGGAAGGUGGAAUUCCUAGUGUAGAGGUGAAAUUCGUAGAUAUUAGGAGGAAUACCGGUGGCGAAGGCGGCCUUCUGGACCAUUUCUGACACUGAGACGCGAAAGCGUGGGGAGCAAGCAGG